UACAGAGGGGGCAAGCGUUAUUCGGAAUUACUGGGCGUAAAGGGCGUGUAGGCGGGAAGGCAAGUCGGGCGUGAAAGCCCCAGGCUCAACCUGGGAACUGCACUCGAAACUGCCUUUCUUGAGUGCCGGAGAGGAAAGCGGAAUUCCUGGUGUAGAGGUGAAAUUCGUAGAUAUUCGCAAGAACACCAGUGGCGAAGGCGGCUCACUGGCCCGGUACUGACGCUGAGGUGCGAAAGCGUGGGGAGCAAACAGG
rnacentral:rRNA from 1 species